AGGCUUCUUUUUAUGUCCUCCCAAAACACAAGAAUGUUGUAUAAACCAAAAAUAUCAUUUUGGCAUCUUGGGCCUCAAUACUUAAGCCCCUUAUUGUAGAUAGGUUGAAAGAAUUUCCUUAGCAUAUUUGCAAUAGUGAAAUAUUAGAUUUGGUGGUCCUCACAACAAGAAACAAUGAUCUUGUUAAAGAUGCUUUCCUUAUGGUUUAUUUCAUCUUUUCCUUUCUCUUUCCUCACCCUAGUCCACAGUUUUUAUGGC
rnacentral:lncRNA from 1 species